UUUUAUUCAUUUUUUUUAUUAAUAUAAUAUAAUAUAAUAUUCUACUUAGAUUUUUAAAUAAAUUUAUCAGAAAAUAAGGCAAAAAUAUCCCAAUGCAUAAAAUGAUUGACAAGAGUGUUUCUGAUCUGCUAAAAAAGCAUUAGUUCCUCCUGAUAUGAUGUAUAUGAUAUGAUAUAUGAUAUAAAGAUCUCCUUAAAAAUACAUUUAUCUUGUUUUAAGCAUGCUUAGGUAUUAUUGCUAGAAAUAAGACAAAAAAAUACCCAAGAUGUAUGUGAUUUUUUUAAUUUUAUUUUUUAUUUAUAGAUGAAACACACACACUUCUUUGUGCCUGCUCUUGUUUGCCUCUCAUACAUUCUGUGUUCUUGAACGACCGUGUCUUUGUGUGUAUCUCUGAUAAGAGAUGGCCACUCUUCACAAUCACUGAUUAUAGAUCGGCCUUCAGAGAUACUGUCAGCUACUGAUCCCACAUCACAGCACAGCAGACGCCCUCCCACUACACGUCUAUCUGACUGAUCUGAGAGCAGCUGGCACUGAAGAAAAAGGGACAGGAUGAUGGCUGAGCUCAUGUGAAGAUGCUCAGAGUGGAUAGACACACCUGUUUAAAGAGUUUAGCUUUAAACUUUCAUGCUUAAGAUGUCACAAAACGGCAGCAAACUUAGAUCAGAAAAUGCUAUUUUGUGGGUUGAUCACAGCUCGCUGUGACCCGUUUUGCGAUAUGGUUCUCACACUGUGGUUUUACCAUUUCAGAGCGUUUAACGUGACACAUCUCAGAAUGAAACUGGCGUGAGGUCAACACUUGCUUUAAAAAACAUCACGCACCUGUAAUUUGAGCAAAUCUAUAUAUACAUACACACACACACACACACACACACACACACACACACACACACACACACACACACACAAACCCACUUAUUUCUAUAUAUAGCAGGUGUAUCAGCAUCAUCCCCUGAACAGUCAUUAAAACAACAGGGGAAUGUAAGAAUGAAACUGACAUUUAGACCCUCAUCCACACAGAAUAAGACUCUUAGUUAUUUUAUGAUUGUUCAUAUACUGAAUUACUUGUGUUACUACAUUCAUUUUAGCAUUGUAGCAGUUUGCAUUUUUAAAUAGUAGAGCUAAGUAUAAACAUGCUAUUGUUUUUUUUUUAUUUCUCCUUUAUUUGAACAAAAGUGAAAGUGACUGAAAGU
ensembl:lncRNA